AGUGGAAGCGUCUGGAAAGGCGCGCGAUACAGGGUGACAGCCCCGUACACAAAAGCGCAUGUGCUGUGAGCUCGAUGAGUAGGGCGGGACACGUGGUAUCCUGUCUGAAUAUGGGGGGACCAUCCUCCAAGGCUAAAUACUCCUGACUGACCGAUAGUGAACCAGUACCGUGAGGGAAAGGCGAAAAGAACCCCGGCGAGGGGAGUGAAAAAGAACCUGAAACCGUGUACGUACAAGCAGUGGGAGCACCCUUUGGGGUGUGACUGCGUACCUUUUGUAUAAUGGGUCAGCGACUUAUAUUCUGUAGCAAGGUUAACCGAAUAGGGGAGCCGGAGGGAAACCGAGUCUUAACCGGGCGUUAAGUUGCAGGGUAUAGACCCGAAACCCGGUGAUCUAGCCAUGGGCAGGUUGAAGGUUGGGUAACACUAACUGGAGGACCGAACCGACUAAUGUUGAAAAAUUAGCGGAUGACCUGUGGCUGGGGGUGAAAGGCCAAUCAAACCGGGAG
rnacentral:rRNA from 1 species